GGUUGCAAGUUUGAGGCCAUAGCAGAAGUACUCAUGGCAUGGCCCUGUCAGAUUCCAAUGAACCAGUAAAUUCUGCU
rnacentral:ribozyme from 1 species